rnacentral:rRNA from 1 species
GGAUGAACGUUGGCGACGUGCCUACCCCAUGCAAGUCGAGCGGAGAAGAAGAGAGUGAACUUUUCGGAGUGAACUUUUUUCGGAUCAGCGGCGGACGGGUGAGUAAUACAUGAGGAACCUGCCCUCUACAAGGGGAUAGCCGGGGGAAACCGCGAUUAAUACCCUAUGAGACCACGAAAGCGCAUGCUUUUGAGGUUAAAGAUUUAUCGGUAGAAGAUGGCCUCAUGACCCAUUAGCUAGUUGGUGAUUUAACAGACCACCAAGGCGACGAUGGGUAGCCGGCUUGAGAGAGUGAACGGCCACAUUGGAACUGAGACACGGUCCAGACUCCUACGGGAGGCAGCAGUGGGGAAUAUUGCACAAUGGGGGAAACCCUGAUGCAGCGACGUCGCGUGAGCGAAGAAGGCCUUCGGGUCGUAAAGCUCUGUCCUAUGGGAAGAAAAGGACGGUACCAUAGAAGGAAGCCCCGGCUAACUACGUG